CUGGCAAGCGGGAGGAGAGGAGAUAUUUCUGGAUUAGGUGAAUGCUGAAUGGGUAUAAAAGAAGGGAUGGGAGAAGAUAAUGUGCUAAUGUGGGGGAAGCUGAUGCUGAAAAUGAAAAAGUGGGCAUCCUAAUGCAGCCUAUAAAUGCAUUUCUGAGAAGCGCUGGUGCUGUAUGUAUCUGCAUGUUCUGGUACUCUCAUGCUCUGAAGUAUAACUCCAGAUACUUUAGAAAAUUCUUUGGCACAUGAAGAAUUGCAGAGCAACACGGAGUGAGGAGUCUGGAGGGUUUUGCUGCUGCAGUGGGAUUUCUACAGAGGAAGCACUUGCAAUACAAUUCUAAACAUGGCUUAAGAGUUAAGUGUGAAAAGUGAAGCCAAAAUUUGCAUUGUGGGUAGCUUAAGAAAAUGGUGAAGCUGAUUUUAUGAUUGAUCGAAUGUAAGGAUUACCUUACAGCACUGAAUUUGCUUCUUUCUGACAGGCAAACGGUGAGCUGUAGAAUGAGAGAUGAGUUUAUAGCCACAGAGUCUCCUGUUGGGAGGCUAUCGAGAUAAAUAAGGGCAUAGAUUGUGCAAUCAGAAAAAACUUGUGCUGCAUCCAACAGCAUUUUUUUUUCUCUAGGAAAAGACACCAUGAAUCUUAACGUGAUUUAACUAUUUCCAAGUAAAUCCCCUUGACAAACAAGCUUCCUGCACUGACAACUAGAGAUCUGCUCUCAAUAAAGCAGCAAUAUAGAGCAUGAAUAGAAAAAUUCCAUACAAAAAUUUGAACAUGGCUUCAGCUGCCAGAUGAGUCAAAUUUCAUGUCCUAUUUCCUUGGGCUGCUGUAAUUUCCCCCUAUGCCGAGGCUGAUUAGGACACCGGUGCAGCAGAGUGAAAUCCUGCUUUCCUCCCUCCUGGGCAUACCGUGUCCUCUCCCAUCCUCAGCCUGCCCCUUCCACGCGUGUGGAAAGUGGUGGGCAGAAGCCUAGCCAUGACCAUCUCCUCCCAACCUAGAGCUUUGCCCCUUCCUUCUGUUGUGCCCAAAGCCUGUUUGUCUCCUGAUUGUUCAUCAGCAGAAUAAAAGGAUAAUUUGUUUUUUCCCUGCUGUGUACUGGAGACCAUCAGGGAGGUAAGAAUAUCACAGGGAAAGAAGGGAUGGUUUUCUUUUUUUCCUUUUGUGCUUAGAAAAACCACCUGCUGGAAACACUGGAGCUGUGUUUAUAGGGUCAUAUCUUCUAAAAUUCACUGUGGAGUUCCUAGAAAUGUGAACUUUAAAAGUGACUGUUUCUCCUGUCUUAAAGCAUUCCAAUAAUAAAAAUGUUUGUGAUCUAUCAUUUGCCACAAUGA